AGGGCGAUAGCAGGGCUGUGCUGAGGCAGGUCCUGGCAGGGCGAUAGCAGGGCUGUGCUGAGGCAGGUCCUGGCAGGGCAAUAGCAGGGCUGUGCUGAGGCAGGUCCUGGCAGGGCGAUAGCAGGGCCGUGCUGAGGCAGGUCCUGGCAGGGCGAUAGCAGGGUUGUGUUCAAUGAUGACACAGCAGGUCCUGGCAGGGCGAUAGCAGGGCCGUGCUGAGGCAGGUCCUGGCAGGGCGAUAGCAGGGUUGUGUUCAAUGAUGACACAGCAGGUCCUGGCAGGGCGAUAGCAGGGCCGUGCUGAGGCAGGUCCUGGCAGGGCGAUAGCAGGGCUGCGCUGAGGCAGGUCCUGGCAGGGCGAUAGCAGGGCCAUGCUCAGGCAGGUCCUGGCAGGGCGAUAGCAGGGUUGUGUUCAAUGAUGACACAGCAGGUCCUGGCAGGGCGAUAGCAGGGCCGUGCUGAGGCAGGUCCUGGCAGGGCGAUAGCAGGGCCGUGCUGAGGCAGGUCCUGGCAGGGCGAUAGCAGGGCCGUGCUGAGGCAGGUCCUGGCAGGGCGAUAGCAGGGCCGUGCUGAGGCAGGUCCUGGCAGGGCGAUAGCAGGGCUGUGCUCAGGCAGGUCCUGCCAGGGUGAUAGCAGGGCCGUGCUGAGGCAGGUCCUGGCAGGGCAAUAGCAGGG